UCUUUGAUGAGUUCUGCUGAUG
rnacentral:siRNA from 1 species